UACGUAGGUGGCAAGCGUUGUCCGGAUUUAUUGGGUUUAAAGGGUGCGUAGGCGGCCUUGUAAGUCAGUGCUGAAAUAUCCCGGCUUAACCGGGAGGGUGGCAUUGAUACUGCAGGGCUUGAGUAAAGUUGAGGUUGGUGGAAUUCCCGGUGUAGUGGUGAAAUGCGUAGAUAUCGGGAGGAACACCAGUGGCGAAGGCGACUACCUGGCCUGUUCUUGACGCUGAGGCGCGAAAGCUAGGGGAGCAAACGGG
rnacentral:rRNA from 1 species